rnacentral:tRNA from 1 species
CCCCCUGUAGCUCAACCGGUCAGAGCAGAGGACUCAUAAUCCUUUGGUUGCGGGUUCAAGUCCCGCCGGGGGGAC